CCUACGGGAGGCAGCAGUGGGGAAUAUUGCACAAUGGGGGAAACCCUGAUGCAGCGACGCCGCGUGAGUGAAGAAGUAAUUCGUUAUGUACAGCUCUAUCAGCAGGGAAGAAAAUGACGGUACCUGACUAAGAAGCCCCGGCUAACUACGUGCCAGCAGCCGCGGUAAUACGUAGGGGGCAAGCGUUAUCCGGAUUUACUGGGUGUAAAUGGAGCGUAGGCGGCAGUGCAAGUCUGGAGUGAAAGCCCGGGGCUCAACCCCGGGACUGCAUUUGGAACUGUGCGGCUGGAGUGCAGGAGAGGCAGGCGGAAUUCCUAGUGUAGCGGUGAAAUGCGUAGAUAUUAGGAGGAACACCAGUGGCGAAGGCGGCCUGCUGGACGGCGACUGACGUUGAGGCCCGAAAGCGUGGGGAGCAAACAGGAUUAGAUACCCCAGUAGUC
rnacentral:rRNA from 1 species